rnacentral:rRNA from 1 species
UACGGAGGGUGCAAGCGUUAAUCGGAAUUACUGGGCGUAAAGCGUGCGUAGGCGGUUCGUUAAGUCUGUUGUGAAAGCCCCGGGCUCAACCUGGGAAUGGCAAUGGAUACUGGCGAGCUAGAGUGUGUCAGAGGAUGGUGGAAUUCCUGGUGUAGCGGUGAAAUGCGUAGAGAUCAGGAAGAACAUCGGUGGCGAAGGCGCUCUGCUGGACCAUAACUGACACUCAGGGACGAAAGCUAGGGGAGCGAAUGGG